CCUACGGGAGGCAGCAGUGAGGAAUAUUGGUCAAUGGGCGCGAGCCUGAACCAGCCAAGUAGCGUGAAGGAUGACUGCCCUACGGGUUUUAAACGUCUUUUAUAAAGGAAUAAAGUGAGGCACGUGUUCCUUUUUGUAUGUACUUUAUGAAUAAGGAUCGGCUAAAUCGGUGCCAGCAGCCGCGGUAAUACGGAGGAUCCGAGCGUUAUCCGGCUUUAGUGGGUUUAAAGGGAGCGUGGAUGGGUUGUUAAGUCAGUUGUGAAAGGUUGCGGCUCAACAGUAAAAUUGCAAUUGAUACUGGCAGUCUUGAGUACAGUUGAGGUAGGCGGAAUUCGUGGUGUAGCGGUGAAAUGCUUAGAUAUUACGAAGAACUCCGAUUGCGAAGGCAGCUUACUAAACUGCCACUGACAUUGAUGCUCGAAAGUGUGGGUAUCAAACAGGAUUAGAUACCCGGGUAGUC
rnacentral:rRNA from 1 species